CUAAGUUUGAUGGCGACCGGCGCACGGGUGAGUAACACGUAUCCAACCUGCCAAUGACUCGGGGAUAGCCUUUCGAAAGAAAGAUUAAUACCCGAUGGCAUAGUUCUUCCGCAUGGUAGAACUAUUAAAGAAUUUCGGUCAUCGAUGGGGAUGCGUUCCAUUAGGUUGUUGGCGGGGUAACGGCCCACCAAGCCUUCGAUGGAUAGGGGUUCUGAGAGGAAGGUCCCCCACAUUGGAACUGAGACACGGUCCAAACUCCUACGGGAGGCAGCAUG
rnacentral:rRNA from 1 species